UACGUAGGGUGCAAGCGUUAAUCGGAAUUACUGGGCGUAAAGCGUGCGCAGGCGGCUUUGCAAGACAGAUGUGAAAUCCCCGGGCUCAACCUGGGAACUGCAUUUGUGACUGCAUGGCUAGAGUACGGUAGAGGGGGAUGGAAUUCCGCGUGUAGCAGUGAAAUGCGUAGAGAUGUGGAGGAACACCGAUGGCGAAGGCAGCCCCCUGGGUUAACACUGACGCUCAGGCACGAAAGCGUGGGGAGCAAACAGG
rnacentral:rRNA from 1 species